AGGAUUGAAGAGAAAACCAAACUUAAUAAGCUCCAGGUUUCCCCUGGCCGUACACUGGUGCCCACACUGAAGAGUAGCAGGUGUAAUAAUCGGAGGGUCUGAAAAGCCUUGACAGUGUCUCCACAACAUCCCCUAUCCAAGGCCUGAGCAAACAGCAGACCUCCUAGAUGAUGGAUCAGGUUGGCAGAACAACUACACCACCGGGUCUGCUCCAUUAAGAAGUGAUACACGAGGAUUGUGUGUUUCUAUGGACAACGUGCUAAUUCUGAAUUACCCAGGGUACACCAAGAGCAGUUUCUCAUCAUGCCUUAAGCAAUAAGAGGAGACUGAACAUCUUAGAGUUUUAUUUGGCCUUCUGUGACGCUUCUCCUCCUCGGGUCAAGCAGAAGAGUGGACUGGAAUCAAAGAUCUAUCACUAAAAUGACUUGGCCUCAGAAGGGCACUCACUUGACGGCAGGUGGCAAUCGAACAGUCGGCACGAGCGAGCCUGCGGUGAGAUGUGGGCUUUCCCAGCUCAACCUCUGCAAGGAGCUGAAGUGAUGUGGCUGUCCUUGUCCUACCCUGCUCAGCACGGCAGACCCACCCUCAGCCUGACGUUGCUUGGGGCAAGGUCACACUCGUGUCACCAUUGUGUCCUGACCAGAACAAGGAGCUUUUUCGCAGGCAGUGCUCCAAAAUGCUGCUCGCAGGUACUUUCCAGGCUGUUUGUUCCAGAUCAGUUAGUGGAUUUUGAGGAUUUUAGAUUAGGGGAAAUAUCUGAAGGUAGCUCUGAGGCACUCCCGUGUCAGACGCGCACAUGGUUCAAGGGUCUGAAGUAUGUGUCAGUUAUCUCCUGGCUGCUUUGCCCCAAGGGACAGAACGCGGGGCUGAAGAAGGGGAGGAAAGGCCAGCUUCCCGAGGCUAAGCUGGGAGAUGGAGCAUCCUGGAACGGUGUCAAGUCCCGCUGGAGAUGUCAGCAGGGUCUCCCCUUCAGUAAACCCUUAGGGGUCAUUAGGUGAUGUUUCUUUCUUGGCACAGCUGCAAAUAUGGUCCAUUGCCUUUGUUUUGCUCUGCUAGCAUUGUUUUCCCACUGACUUUAGUGUUGAUCUAAUGUAACUGUUGCAUCUCAUUCCCAUCCAAAGAUGAGGUAUAAUCUGAGGGAGGCCUGUUUUUCAUUAGCGUUGAACUUGCAGCACAGGAACUUUCUCUGACGCAGUUCACAAGGGGGUGAGGAGGUGGGAGGGAGGGUUAGUUAUUACCUCUGUUUCCUCUGCUGGAGCAUGGGCUUCUCUACCGAGCUCUGCCAUCUCUCCCAGGGGCCAGCAACUAAUUCCUCCAUACCCCUGCACACCGGAGCCUCUCUUUAGAAGAGACUUCCAAUCAUGACAAAUUAUCUGUGCUGAUUUUGUGACAUGAACUGUUACCCAUUAGGGAAUGAACUGACACCAAUAAAUUCAUUUCACUUACAACCUCACACUGUGCAUGAAUUGAAGUUCUAGAGGUGAAAGACAUAAAUUUACCAGGUGGGCAGACACACAGCUUCCCCCUAAGACUGUGCACUUCACCUUUGCUACGUGCGCUGCUUCUGCUGGGCCAGCCCAACAUUAAUUUUGCAUAGAGUAGAUUUCUCCUGUACCGCGCACAAUCCGUAUGAUUUAUACUUGCCUCGAGUAGCUGUGUGA